CGAAUCGCCUUUACUUACAACCGCUCUUUCUUAUCAAACAGCUGCGGUCGUUCAUGAAAGUCUAGUUUUCACCAUGAAUGCAAAGAUUGCUGUGGUGCUGUCGGUGAUCGCGUGUGUGAUUAAUAUUAUCGGUCUGGCGAUUCCGUACUGGCGUACAUGUUCGAUGAAAUUGAAAGAGUUCGAUUUUUCAGUCGGCUCCAAUUAUGGCCUUUGGAUAUUCUGCGGAUAUGUUGACGCGCCGAAUAGAAGUUUUCGCACAUGUUCUGCCUAUGAUCACCCGGAGAUAACGUCUUCAACUAAUGGCAUUCUUCAAGCAAGAUAUAUUGAGCUCGUGGCCUCAAUAUUGGUUGUCUGCUCCACGAUAAUGGGACUCGUCCAGACGGUCUCGCAUACCCCUAAAGUCCUGUACACGAAACCAUCAGGAGUCAUGUGUAUCAUAGCAGGUAUACUGGAUUAUGAAAGACUGAUAAACAUAAAAUUGACAACUCAUCUCCCCAACGAUACUUUGUGUGGCUCAUUCUCAGAACAAACCCAUAGUCAGUGAGAAAACUACAGUGUAAAAAGACCACUUGAUUGUGACAAUUAUGGCUGACCAUAAAAAUGAAUUGGAUACUGUUUUAAGCUUCACUCUACUUUGUCUGAAAAUAAAAGUCCUAAAUGAUGUAAUAGAAAAUACAUAUUUAAUUUUUAGUUUUACAAUGGUAUAUAUAUACAUACAUAUAUUAUAAUAUCUUUUUAUCAAUGGUCAAUCAAUUUAAGUUUAACUAAUAUAUACAUACACAUUUUAUACAUGUGUAUGCUUUGAUUUUUUUCUAUUGAAGCCAAAUUAAUAUCCCAUUAGAUAGAUAUAUAAUAUCACAGCAGUAUUCCUAUUUUGUCUGCAAGUACUGCAGAAAUCAUGGAUUAUUAUUUUACUGAGUCAGCCUUAUUCUUUAUAUUAUAAUUGUUAAAACAGAUUAAGAUGUGCAUUAUACAAUUGAGGAUGCAUCAAGAUUAAAAAAUGGUACAUGUAUAAAUUAAUAAAGAAUCAAUAACAAUCAGAAACUGUGCAUUUUUUUUCAGUAUUGUGUGAAAGGAUUUGAAGUAAUGAUGUGUUUUUGAAAUAUGAUUUAUGUGAAUUUGAAUAAAUAUAUAAAAUUUA